rnacentral:rRNA from 1 species
AUUGAACGCUGGCGGCAUGCUUUACACAUGCAAGUCGGACGGCAGCGGGGGUGCUUGCACCUGCCGGCGAGUGGCGAACGGGUGAGUAAUAUAUUGGAACGUACCGAGUAGUGGGGGAUAACUAAGCGAAAGUUUAGCUAAUACCGCAUACGACCUGAGGGUGAAAGCGGGGGACGGGAGACUGCCUCGCGCUAUUUGAGCGGCCAAUAACUGAUUAGCUAGUUGGUGGGGUAAAGGCCUACCAAGGCGAUGAUCAGUAGCGGGUCUGAGAGGAUGAUCCGCCACACUGGGACUGAGAGACGGCCCAGACUCCUACGGGAGGCAGCAGUGGGGAAUUUUGGACAAUGGGGGCAACCCUGAUCCAGCCAUGCCGCGUGUCUGAAGAAGGCCUUCGGGUUGUAAAGGACUUUUGUUAGGGAAGAAAAGGGAAGUGCUAAUAUCACUUUUUGCUGACGGUACCUAAAGAAUAAGCACCGGCUAACUACGUGCCAGCAGCCGCGGUAAUACGGAGGGUGCGAGCGUUAAUCGGAAUAACUGGGCGUAAAGGGCACGCAGGCGGUGACUUAAGUGAGGUGUGAAAGCCCCGGGCUUAACCUGGGAAUUGCAUUUCAUACUGGGUCGCUAGAGUACUUUAGGGAGGGGUAGAAUUCCACGUGUAGCGGUGAAAUGCGUAGAGAUGUGGAGGAAUACCGAAGGCGAAGGCAGCCCCUUGGGAAUGUACUGACGCUCAUGUGCGAAAGCGUGGGGAGCAAACAGG